ACGCACGCUGGCGGCGUGCCUAAUACCUGCCAGCAGCACGCUGAAGAGAGGAGCUUGCUCUUCUUGGAUGAGUUGCGAACGGGUGAGUAACGCGUAGGUAACCUGCCUUGUAGCGGGGGAUAACUAUUGGAAACGAUAGCUAAUACCGCUUAACAAUGGAUGACACAUGUCAUUUAUUUGAAAGGGGCAAUUGCUCCACUACAAGAUGGACCUGCGUUGUAUUAGCUAGUAGGUGAGGUAAUGGCUCACCUAGGCGACGAUACAUAGCCGACCUGAGAGGGUGAUCGGCCACACUGGGACUGAGACACGGCCCAGACUCCUACGGGAGGCAGCAGUAGGGAAUCUUCGGCAAUGGGGGCAACCCUGACCGAGCAACGCCGCGUGAGUGAAGAAGGGUGUCGGAUCGUAAAGCUCUGUUGUAAGUCAAGAACGGGUGUGAGAGUGGAAAGUUCACACUGUGACGGUAGCUUACCAGAAAGGGACGGCUAACUACGUG
rnacentral:rRNA from 1 species